CGCGUAGGCGGAUCGUUAAGUCAGAGGUGAAAUCCCAGGGCUCAACCCUGGAACUGCCUUUGAUACUGGCGAUCUUGAGUAUGAGAGAGGUAUGUGGAACUCCGAGUGUAGAGGUGAAAUUCGUAGAUAUUCGGAAGAACACCAGUGGCGAAGGCGACAUACUGGCUCAUUACUGACGCUGAGGCGCGAAAGCGUGGGAGCAAACA
rnacentral:rRNA from 1 species